AGUGAACGCUGGCGGUAGGCCUAACACAUGCAAGUCGAACGGCAGCACAGUAAGAGCUUGCUCUUACGGGUGGCGAGUGGCGGACGGGUGAGGAAUACAUCGGAAUCUACUUUUUCGUGGGGGAUAACGUAGGGAAACUUACGCUAAUACCGCAUACGACCUACGGGUGAAAGCAGGGGAUCUUCGGACCUUGCGCGAUUGAAUGAGCCGAUGUCGGAUUAGCUAGUUGGCGGGGUAAAGGCCCACCAAGGCGACGAUCCGUAGAUGGUCUGAGAGGAUGAUCAGCCACACUGGAACUGAGACACGGUCCAGACUCCUACGGGAGGCAGCAGUGGGGAAUAUUGGACAAUGGGCGCAAGCCUGAUCCAGCCAUACCGCGUGGGUGAAGAAGGCCUUCGGGUUGUAAAGCCCUUUUGUUGGGAAAGAAAAGCAGCAGGUUAAUACCCCGCUGUUCUGACGGUACCCAAAGAAUAAGCACCGGCUAACUUCGU
rnacentral:rRNA from 1 species